rnacentral:rRNA from 1 species
UACGAAGGGGGCUAGCGUUGCUCGGAAUCACUGGGCGUAAAGCGCACGUAGGCGGCUUGUUAAGUCAGGGGUGAAAUCCUGGAGCUCAACUCCAGAACUGCCUUUGAUACUGGCAAGCUUUGAGUCCGGGAGAGGUGAGUGGAACUGCGAGUGUAGAGGUGAAAUUCGUAGAUAUUCGCAAGAACACCAGUGGCGAAGGCGGCUCACUGGCCCGGUACUGACGCUGAGGUGCGAAAGCGUGGGGAGCAAACAGG